rnacentral:lncRNA from 1 species
GUCCACUCUCUCAUAUCAAUAUAAUAACAUCCAUGACAACGAUUUCAGUACCAUGUAUAAUUCACGAAUACACAAGCAUAUCCUAAACCUUGGAACGAAUAACUUUUAAUCCAUAGAAUCUGAUCAAGACAAUUCUUUCAAUUAUAAUUCCUCUCCAUUGAACUUACAACCUUGCGAUAAAUAGUGACUGGAAACUUCCAUAUGUCCUCAAUCUUUUACAACAAUUGAUAAACAGUUAUCCAUAAAUAACUUUGUAAAUCAAAUAUUAAUUCAUUAAAUCGAUUUUCUUCACUAGAAUCAAUACUAAUACAAAAGAAACAAGAAAACUAAGAAGAAGAGAUAGCACCGAGCUUAUCCCCAGCUCAGUACUAUCGCAGUCUGGCCUUUUCUUCCCCUCUCCCAUCCUCCUUAUACUACCCCGAGAUAUCAACUCCUAUACUACAGAUGAUAACUACUUUUCCUGACUAUUCAUCCAUUCUACCUGCUGAAUCAUCUUUUCAGCAGUUAUCUAUCCCUGUUUACAUUAUAUACUAAGUAUCUACAUUUUGAAAAUAACUACUUAUUCUACAUAGCCCCACUCCUAACUGUGUAGCGUCCCUGCAAACACAGUAUUGAUAAACAAAAAUCAUUUUUUUUUUUUUUUUUUUUUUUUUUUUUUUAAUUAGAUUGUUCAAUCUCUUCAAUUUCUGGCGUUGGCUCCAUUUGAUCUUGUUCCAAUACUUUAUCUUCUUCUUCUGACUCGUCUUGAAUCUCUGCCCUUAAUUGAGCUGUUAAAUCUUCAUUAUAUGCUUCCAAUUUUCAAACCUGAGCUUCCAAUUAGAAGAUUCUGGUAUCUUUAACUUCUAAUUGUUGUUGCUACUGUUGUAAUUUUUCCUCCAAUUUUCCAAUUCUUACUCCCGUUGAGGCAAAUGUCUCUGACUGAUCAAUACUGACCAAAUCACUCUCCAAUUUCGUUACUGUUUCCUUCAAAACAAUAAUUUUUGCCUGUAGUUCAUCCGUAUUGUUUUGAUAUUGAUCAUCCAAUUGUUUCUUUUCAAGCUCGAAUGCCUCCUUCUCUUGUUCCAUCUUCAAUUGAGCGUUCAUCUUCUUCUGUUCCAAUCUAUAUGAUUUACGAGUUUGUAGUAAUUCUUGCCUUUGAUUUUCCAAGAU